AUUUUGUUCCUUAUAUAUAUAUAUAAAAUAUUUUUUUAGCAGGGACAAGACACUUAAACAAUGGUAUCGUUUAGGGAUGGUGUCGACCAAGGAGCAAUUACAAGGCACUUAAUAUUUUGUCUUUUUUUGGGAUAUGUAUAUGCGUACAAUUACAAUGCACAUGUCGUGUAGUAUUAUGUAAUUGACUUUUUUGUAAUGAAAAUAUUUAUAAUAUUUAGUUUGAGAAAUUCUUUUGGUGUUUUUUAAAUAUUAUUGGUUGCUUUUAAUAUUGGUAGUCAAUAGAUGUGAAUAUCCAGUUAUUAAAUUUAGAGAAUUAGGUUCCUACCGGAUAUAUAUAUAAUUUUGGUCAUUAUAGCUUUUGAGAAGAUAAGUUUUAGUGGCGACAUUAUUUUGUCACAAAAUAUUAGUAAUUGUUGCGAUGUUAAAAUUGCCACUGUUAGUUUAUUUCUUUUGCAGCGACUUUAGUCGCAACAGAAAGUUAUUGUGCCUUUCUUGGUUAAUUAUUUUGUAGCGACAUGAGUUGCUACUAAAAGUCAUUUAUAGUGGCGAUAUGAACUUGCCACUGAAAAUAUGUUUUGCCAGCGAUAGCAGUCGCCGCUAAAAGGGAAUAGCAGUGGCGACCCAGCUAAAAUUUUAUUCUUGUGGAACCAUUUUUGUAGCGGGUUUUGCCACCUUUUGCGGCGACUGUAUCGCCGCAAAAUAUGAGCUUUUAGCGGCGACCUUUUGGCGUUGCCACAAAUACCUUUCAGUUACGGUUUUCCUUGUAGCAACACAAAUGUCGGCACUAAUAACAUGUAGCAGCGACUUUCAUGGAUUUUGUAGCGACUUUAGUCGCCGCAAUAAGUCUAAUUUCUUGUAGUUAGGGAACAAAAUUGUUCUAAACCAUGUUUGAUGGCUUGGCUUGACUUAUCAUUUGCUCUAGCCAUUAGGGUAAGAUCGUCUGCAAAUAAUAGAUGAGAGAUUUUUGGACAUCUACUACCUAAGGAUAUGAGAUCCUAAUUUCUAGUGUCCACUUGGUGUUCAAUGUAUCUAGUGAGCAAUUCCAGGCAGAGAAUAAAUAUAUAGGGGGAAAUAGGGUCCCUUUGUCUUAUUCCUCUACUUGGUGCAAAAUAAUUUGUGACAGAGCUAUUUACUAAAAUUGCAAUAUUACUAGUAGAGAUGCAACUCAGUAAUAAUUUAGAGAAUUUAGGAGGAAAUUUAAAGUAGUCAAGGGUGUGACGAACGAAGACAUUUCUAAAGGACCAAAUGCUUUUUCUAGAUCAAUUUUUAGAAUCAUGUGGCCCUACUUUCCUUUUAACUUAUUAAACUUAGAGACCAACUCCUGAAUGAGGAUGGCAUUAUUAGAUGCCCUUCUAUUUUUCAUAAAACUAGUUUGAUAUGGACUGAUCAGUAGAUUAAGGAAUGGUUUAAGUCGGUUAUCUUAGUAAUAAGUUUAUAGAUUGUAUUGUAUAAACCAAUAGGCGUGAAAUUUCGAAUGUUGUUGGCAUUAUGGAUUUUAGGAAUAAGGCAGAUAUAGGUUUUGUUAAUUUCAGGGGGGAUUUCCUGGUUCUGAAAAAUGUCAUGACAGAGCUUACAAACUGAUUGACCUAUAAAAUGCCAAUAUUUCUGGAAGAAAAAAGGAUACAAUCCAUCCGGACCCAGAGAUUUAAAGGGUUUGAAUGAGAAAAUAGCUCUUUUAAUCUCAGAAUAUGUUAGGGAGAUAUCAAGGUUGUCUAAAUUAAUGUUAUUACCACUAUAAUGGUGAAUUAGAGGGUUGGCUCAACUGGAUUGUGGGUGAGAGGAGGUAAAGGUAGAGAUAAAAUAGUUGUGAACAUGGGACAUGAUCUGGCUAUGAUCAUUAAUCCAAUUACUAGCCUCAUCUUUAAAGAAGUUAAUCUUGUUUCUUCUUUUUCUAUUAGUGACUGAGACAUGAAAGAAUUUUGUAUUUGUGUUACCAUCAUUAAGCCACAAGAUUAGUUUCCAAUAGUCCUCUUCAAUUUUAAGAAUAUCAUUGAAAUCAUUCUUGAGGUCUAAUUCUAGUUUGUGAUGGAAAAUGCUGGUAGAAUAGCUAUUGGAAUUUUGGAAUGCCUUGAAGUCUAGCUAGCAAUUUUCUUUUCCUUUCCAUAAUAUUUUCAAAGGUGAUGUUUUUCCAAGGCUUUAGUUUUUCCACAAAGUUAAGGCUAGCUUUGAAAUAGUCACUAUCAUUCCAAUUAUUUCUUACUAAACUCUGAAAUUCCGGAUGUUUGCACCAAAAGGUUUCUAGUCUAAAAGGGAUUUUACAAAGAGAUCUGUUUUUAGGGAUUAACUCUAUAAGAAUAGGGUUAUGGUCAGAGUGCGUUCUAGGCAGGUGUAUUAUAGAGCUUUUAGGAAAAAGUUCUAUCCACUCCUCAUUCCCAAAAACCUUGUCAAGUCUUUCCAAAAUAAAACCUUUUUAAUUAUGUCUAUUGUUUGUCCAAGUAUAUUUACUACCUUUAUAGCCAAGAUCAAUCAAAUUACAAUUGUUAAUUUUAGACCAUAUAUAUCUAGCUCUACUAUCUUUAAUAGGUCUACCACCAAAUUUUUCACUAGCGGCUAGAAUAUCAUUAAAGUCACCUCCCACAAGCCAAGGUCCUUUGUAAGAGUUGCUAAUAUUUUUUAGAUGCUCCCACAUUAUAUUUCUAUUGUAAACACAAGUACUAGCAUAAAUAGAAGUAAAAAGCCAAGGUUUACGUAUGGGAAGUACCUCAAUAGUUGCAUGGAUCUCUUGGUUCCUACGUACUGCAUUUUGAACGUUGAUUAUAUCAUCCUUCCAUAUUAUAACCAUGCCUCCUGAUUGACCCUCCAAAGGCACUUCAAUCAUCUCAGUAAAGCCAAACUCGUUGAGCAUGGCUGCAUGAUUACCCAUUCUAGUUUCCAACAGUAUCACUAAGCAAGGUCUAUGGGUGUCGAUCAUUUCCCUAAAAUUCCUCCUGAAGUUAUCAUUGUUCCCUUCCUAAUAUUCCAAAUUAUAAAGUUAGUAGGCUGAUUCAUUAAUGAAUUAGUUGCAUGGUUGACUGUCACCUCAUUCUCCCUUACCCCCCCUAGGACAGGGUUUCUUCUCAUCGAGGGUACUAGAAUCAUCGCCUUGUUGCCCACUGUUGGAUUGUGUGGCGGACGGAUGUCCAUCGAGCACUUGUAUAGGGCUAAAGGGCUGUUGAGCACAUGCCUCUUCUCAUGCCUCUCCAUGAAGAGAAAGAUUUUUAUUCCUUCUAGGUUUGAGAGUUCUAGAACUGGCCCUAAGUUUAGGUUUAGGGGGACAUUGUCCUCUUCCAUUACUGCCUCCACUGGACCGGGUAUGGGGUCUGCCUGCUGUUGUUGUGGUGGUACUAGGGAGUGGUGGUGGGUUGGGAAUCUCUUGGUUCCCCUGGUUGAUAUCCCAAGGUAGAAAGAUCGGUUGGAGUUGAGUGUACAUUUCCAGUGGGAAGAAGGGGAGGUACAAGGGAGCAUUUUGGGGGUUGAAGGGAUUGAAUUGGGGAGGCAUGUUCCAUUGUUCUCUCAUUACUUGAGCCAUUUGAGGGUUCAAUGAUGGAGCCAUUGGUUGGAUUAUGUUGUUUAGCCAAACUUGGUUGAGAUAGUUGUUCAUAGCUAACCUCAUUCCCUCCGUUAUGAGUUGAGCUAAGUAUUGCGUGUUGUGGAGAAUCACUAUUGCCUCUUGACCGUUGAUUGGCACAGUGAAGGAGAUUGCAUGGCCCAUGAGACCUAGUUCCAUCCAACUUGUCGGUUGGUAAUCUUGAGUUUGGGCAUAGAUUAUCUGAGGUUGUUCUUGUGGGUGGAGGGGUGGAAUGUUUUCCAUAGUCAGUGGCCUGUGUUGACAAAGGAUUUGGAUGAGUCGAUUCCUUCUUCGUAGGGAUGAAGGAACUCUUGGCAUAUUGGGUGGGGAAAGAUGUAUUAAAUGAACUAUUAGUAGGCGUGGGGUUAGAGGUAAUGGAUAGGGGGAGCUUAUUGGUGGAAGAUCCAAUGAUUGAGUCUUCCAAGCUUAUGUGUUUUGGUUGCUCAAUGCCUUGCUUUAAAGGGCAAUUGAUGGCUUCCGUUUGGGUUUCUAAAAGUUUGUCCAUUUGGCUUCUAUGAUCUAAGUCCAUUGCCAUUUGGCAUGCAUGCUAAGGGGUAGUAAUCUUUUCAAAUCUUAAGGAAAGAUUUUGAGUAGAUCCUACGGAUAAAGGAAGAUUUUGGAAGGAUUUUUGUUUUAGGGUGGGAGGGGUUUAAGGUAGUAGGGGUAGGAUUAGUUAGAGGGUUAGAAGUGUCCGUUAGUGUGCCAUUUUACAUGGCAUUAUUAGUAUCUAAGAAUUUGAAAACACUAGAUGCCACAUUGGAAUCAUUCAUGCAAGUGUCUUGUAUAUCAAGAUCCAAGUCAUUACUUAAUUGAUUAAAUUUAUUUUUACAAAGAGAAUUUAUAUUAUCCAUAGUGGUUUUGGCAAAACCGUUUGCCUCUUAUCUAAUUGGUGGUUUUUAUUGAGGGUAAUGGUUUGAUCAAUAGCAAUGCUAGGAUGGGUAUUAACUUUUGAGUUAUGGUUAUUAGAGGAAUAAUCUUUAGAUUUGUAUUGAAGCGUUUGAGUAACCAAGUAUUUACAUGUAUUUGCAUUGAAUAAUUUAACUGGGAUACCUGGACCAUAAUUGCCUUUUGCUUGGAUGAUGGCCGGUUGGUUAGGAAUUUUUUUUCCUUGAUUCUUCCUCUUGUUGAAUGAAACAGUUUUCCAUUCUGUUUCAUUAUCUUCCUUUGUAGCUGCUUGUUGAUGAACUUGUCCUGCAUGGUGAGGAUCUAUGCUUUGUAUCUUGAUAUAGAUGCACUGCCUUAGUGUGUGAUCAAAACGACCAUAAUUUUUACAGAGAAAAUCUUCCCCUUCAUAGUGUAUAUAUUGCUUGUGGUGUUCAACAAAUAGGUAGGGUUGAAUUGGGAUUUCCAAAGGAAUUUCAAUACAAAUCCUUGCAUAUCGAUCUCUUAGGGUUGUUGAAGUGAAUGUGUCAAUUUUCAAUAGGCGUCCUAUUGUUUUUCCAAUUUUUACUAGGAUUUUGCCAUCAUAAAAUUCCGUUGGCAAUUGAGGUAGCCUAAUCCAAACUACAGAGGUAGUUAAUUUUUCAUUUCUAGCCACAAAAUUUGGUUUUCAUUUGGAGAUAGACAGGAAAUGGCCAUUAAUGAACCAUGGACCUAGGUGGAUAGCUUUAUCCAUGUUUUCUUUCUUUGUGAAUUUGAUGAUGUAGUAGUCCUCACCAAGAUCAAUUAAUGAGAAGUCUUCUGUUGGUUUCCAUAGAUCUUGGAUCUUCCUCUUUAGGUAAUGAUGCAACAUACGUUUACCUACUAACUUGAUUAUAAUAUAGUAUUUCCAUGCCUCAUAGAUACGUUGUCUAUCUUCUAAUGAAAGGGAAAUUUGUAUGGCAUCUCCUACGUUAGCUUCUGGAUCAUGCAUAGGUUCCUUAGCUUCCAUUGCAUUUGUUGUGUAGGGCAAAUCCAUUGGGUUUGAUUCCAACAGUUUUUCCUUGAAGGAUGUUAAUUUCUCCAAAUCAUUUUGUAAAGGAUUUUGAUGGACUAAGUCCGGUGGUUUUGGAGGAAUAUUGUCAUGUUUCUCAAAGAGUUGGGAGUUCAUUCUAGAGAGAAGUUGGAGAUUCUCUCACUAAAAAAGAUUUUGGAUGUGACCUCUAAGGGUAGUUGAUGUACAUAUGUCAAUUUUUAGUAGGCGUCCUAUUGCAUUGCCAAUUUUCUCCAGGAUUUUCCCAUUGUAAAACUCUGUUGGCAACUGAGGAAGCCUAAUCCAAACAGCUGAGGUGGUUAAUUUUUCAUUUUUAGCCACGAAGUUUGGUUUCCAUCUGGAGAUGGACAGGAAGUGACCAUUUAUGAACCAUGGACCUGAGUGGAUGGCUUUACCCAUGUUCUCCUUCUUCUUGAAUUUGAUAAUAUAAUAGUCUUCUCCAAGAUCAGUGAUAGAGAAGUCUUCUAAUGGAUUCCAUAGAGCUUGAAUUUUCUUUUUUAAAUUAGGACCGUGAAUGAUAGUGCAUGGCCCAUGAGACCUAGCUCCAAACCAUGGACAACUUAAGAACCUCUAACUUAAUCCCUCCUAAACUCCCUGACAUAAUCCAUCACAACCUCCACCAACUAAACAAGGUCCUUUAUAAGAAUUGCUAAUACUUUCUAGGUGAUCCCACAUAAUAUUUCUAUUAUAAAUACAAGUACUAGCAUAUAUGGAAGUAAAAGGCCAGGGUUUACGUAUAAGAACUACCUCUAUGGUUGCAUGGAUCUCUUGACCCCUACGAAUAGCAUUUUGAACGUUGAUUAUGUCGUCCUUCUACAGCAUUACCAUACCACCAGACUGCCCUUCCGAUGGAACUUCAAUCAUCUCAGUGAACCCAAACUCAUUAAGCAUGGCCGCAUGGUUACCCAUCCUUGUUUCCAACAACGUCACCAUACACGACCUAUGUGUGUCUAACAUUUUCCUAAAGUUUCUCCUAAAAUUAUCAUUAUUCCCUCCCUGUAUAUUCCAUAUUAUGAAAUUUGUGGGAUGAUUCAUGACUAAAUUAGAUUUAGGGUUGACCAUCUCUCCAUUCUCCCUUUUCCCUCCCACUUGGAAAGAAUUUCUUCUCAUCGAUGGAACUAGAAUCAUCGCCUUGUUGCCCGCUGUUAGGUCGUGUGGAGGAUGUAUAUCCAUCGAGCAUUUGUGCCAACGGGCAGCUGAGUACAUGCCUCUUCUCGUGCCUCUUCGUGAAAAGAAAUUUUUUUAUUCCGUCUAGGUUUGAGAGUUCUAGGGUUGGUCCUAAGUGUAAGUUUAGAAGGACAUCGUCCUCCUCCAUUUCUGCCUCAGUUGGACCGGUAUGGGGUCGUCUUGAUGUUGAGGUGGGGGUAAUGGAAGGGGUGGAGGGGGGUGCCAUCUCUUGGUUUCCCUGAUUGAUGUCUCAAGGAAGAAAGAUGGGGUUGAAUUGAGUGUACAUCUCUGUUGGAAAGAAGGGAAGAUUCAAUGGGGUAUUUUGAGGAUUUAUGGGAUUGAACUGAGGUGGUAUGCUCCAUUGUUCUCUCAUCAUUUGAGCCAUUUGAGGAUUCAUUGAUGGAGCCAUCGGGUGGAUAAUGUUGUUGAGCCAUACUUGAUUGAGAUAGUUAUUCAUGGCCAAUCUCAUUCCCUCCAUGAUGAGUUGUGCUAGAGAUAUUGGAUGUUGUGGAGGAUCACAAUAGCCUCUUGGCCAUUAAUUGGGAUCGUGAAUGAUAAUGCAUGGCCCAUGAGACCUAGUUCCAUCCAACUCGUGGGUUGGUAGUUUCUCACACAAAAAUUAUAAAACUUUCAGUAACUCACACAAGAAUCAUAGUUACCGGAAAACACAACUUUUUGGGAGUAGUAUUUUCUUAUUUUUUAUCUUUUAUUUUUUAUUUUCUGUCUAAUAAAUAAUAACACAAUUAAUCUCCCAGAAAAUAAUAACCGAUAAAAUAAAUUUUAUAUAUUUAUUUUGUCUAGCGGAUAUAAUAAAUUUCUACCCUCCACACAAUUUUUAUUUUUAUUUUUAAAAUAGGAAUGACCCAACCUGGAUCUACCCAAAAUAUAUUUAUAUAAUAUAAAAUAAUACUAAACGUAAAUCCUUUCCAACAAAAAAAAUUACUUUAAAAAAAAUUACUUUAGAAUGCGUGAGAUUAUGAGCAAAAAAAAAAAA
rnacentral:lncRNA from 1 species